AACGAACGCUGGCGGCAGGCCUAACACAUGCAAGUCGAGCGAGGACUUCGGUCCUACCGGCGGACGGGUGUGUAACGCGUGGGAACGUGCCCUUUGCUUCGGAAUAGCCCUGGGAAACUGGGAGUAAUACCGGAUGAGCCCCUUGGGGGCAAGAUUUAUCGUCGGAGGAUCGGCCCGCGUUGGAUUAGGUAGUUGGGGGGGGAAUGGCCUACCAAGCCGACGCUCCAUAGCUGGUUUGAGAGGAUGGUCAGCGACACUGGGACUGAGACACGGCCCAGACUCCUACGGGAGGGAGCAGUGGGGAAUCUUAGACAAUGGGGGAAACCCUGAACUAGCCAUGCCGCGUGAGCGAUGAUGGUCUUAGGGAAGUAAAGCUCUUUCAGCUGGGAAGAUAAUGACGGUACCAGCAGAAGAAGCCCCGGCUAACUCCGUG
rnacentral:rRNA from 1 species